UCCGGUCCUCGGUAGUGGCGUCCGGAGCCCCGCUCCGGGUACCUCGAUCGAAGACCGCC
rfam:Cellulomonas cellasea DSM 20118 contig41, whole genome shotgun sequence.